UAAGAUUUCAAACCUGGGAUCGCCACCGUGUGGAUGAAAGGAAGCCAUGCAGGCGUCCCUGAAAAAAAAACAGUAAAGUUUCCAUAGCAACGUCUAGCUAGAUUGUACUGUUUCAUACCCAGGUCUGAACUGCAGGCAUGCCUUUAUCUGGCGUUAAAUGGCUUAUAUUAUUUCGAGUUAAGUCAGUACGAGCGAUAAUUUCGGAAGCGGUUUAUUACUGUCCGCAAGUUGCCCCGCUACAUGCGCCUGAUGUAACAGCUCGUUUCAAGAUAAAAUAAAUUAGAAUUAUAAUAUUCAAUGCUCAGGGUUCAAUUCGGAAUCUCUGCUCCACGUUUCGUUACAUAUUCAAAUAAAGCACAUAAGUGGAUGACACUGUGACAGGCGUUUUACACUGGUGUGAGGAUGUGAAAGUUGGGACCUCUUUGGCUGGAUUAAUUUUGUCGGCGCUAUGAGGACUUACCUGGAGAAAAUUACAAUCAUCAAUUCAAUUGUUUGCCCUGGCAAUGGCACUUAAACUCUGAACUCUUUUUUUCUUACACUAUGGGAUGAGGUGAUGUUCAAAGACCACACAAGGAAUGACCGUGGAUCAUCUUGCUGGAGAUUUUAAUGUGAGGUGCGUUCCAGUAAUUCCUUCACAUGAGACACAAUUCGCCACACGAAAGGGAACCAGGUGCAGAUGUGUGAGUCUUCUGCAAGCUCAUUACGGAAUCUGCACGCUCAUUAAUCACGCAAGCCAGCUUCCGGAGAGACUCCUCUCUCAGGAGGGAUCCCCUGCUGCCGACUGAAACUCAGCGCUUUAGAAGAAGAAUUCCCUCUGCGGCUCGGCAGGGGAAACCGGCAUCUGCUCACCGCCCUCAUUAAAUUCACGCACUCACCUUGAUUUACUGCACCCUGCUUAGCAGCGUAGCGCCGGUCGCCAGAUUGGAGGAAAACGCAGCACUGCAUCAACGGAGAGGCGGCUUGGCUGCUUCCCAGCAACACUGAUUCAGGAUCUACUGUAUUCAAUCUUCUGUGCUGUAAGAGUAAUACUGCUCCAUUUCUCUCUCUCUCCCC